AAGGGACGAUGAGACAGAAGCACGUCAGUGUGUUUUACCUCACUUUUGGUAUCCAGUUCCAGGUUGGCAGAGGCUUCCCGCUAGUUGGUAUCAAAGACAACAAUAAGGAAGACUUCACAAAGAACGUUAUCGGCAGAAGUGCGAUCCAGUUCAUGUGAACAAGCGGCAACGAACGAGGCACGACGACCUGGCGGUGGUCAUCCAGGUAUUGAUCUACACAAACUGCUUUCACUGGAGGGCUCGGGCAACCACAGCCAGGCAACGAGGACUCUUGGACUACUGAAGAACAUGUAGAGGCUUCAUAGUGGCACGACAUUGCCUGUCACCAGUGUCUCAUCUGAGACUAGCAUUUGAUAUUUUGCCAGAAAAUGGCCUAGGUUUCAAGAAGUGUAACUUUAAAAUAUUAAAAUUUUAAACUAG